rnacentral:lncRNA from 1 species
AGGAAGUAGCGUCUCCAGCGGAGAAAAGGAGGAGUCGUAGUCAUGAUCAUGAAUUUCAAACUUGGACUGAAGCUUAGAGGAGGCGACGAUGGUGAUGAUGAUACAAUUGAUAACGAGGUAUAGAUAAGGAGGCCUAAGCCAGGAGGCUACAAGGCUCCAGAUGGAUGGUACCUCAGAGCGGGCGAAAUCAGUAACUAGGGGGACGAAAUUAUUACAACAAAUUUGAUGGACGACAAAAUAAAGUUAGUAUUGGUGCGAGAGAAAAUUGCCAUUUCCGCCGGGGGGAAAUGCUGUAUUGUUAUACGUAUUAUAUAUAGGAGUAGCUUUUAGUUUUGCCGACGGAUGAAAGGAUGGGGCGGCGGCUGCUGCUUAUCGAUGGAGGGAUUGGGUAAGUAUUGAUAAAUAUUGAUGGGCCUAGGGGAUGGAUGGAUACAUUUGUAGUAGUAUUGUUUUGUAAGGAAGUACUUAGCAUGAAGUUUAUU